UACGUAGGGUGCGAGCGUUGUCCGGAAUUAUUGGGCGUAAAGAGCUCGUAGGCGGUUUGUCGCGUCGACUGUGAAAACCUACAGCUUAACUGUGGGCUUGCAGUCGAUACGGGCGGACUUGAGUUCGGUAGGGGAGACUGGAAUUCCUGGUGUAGCGGUGAAAUGCGCAGAUAUCAGGAGGAACACCGGUGGCGAAGGCGGGUCUCUGGGCCGAUACUGACGCUGAGGAGCGAAAGCGUGGGGAGCGAACAGG
rnacentral:rRNA from 1 species